rnacentral:rRNA from 1 species
AGAGUUUGAUCCUGGCUCAGGAUGAACGCUAGCGGCAGGCUUAACACAUGCAAGUCGAGGGGCAGCGCGGGGUAGCAAUAUCCUGGCGGCGACCGGCGGAAGGGUGCGUAACACGUGAGCGACUUGCCCGUCACAGGGAGAUAACCGGCGGAAACGGCGACUAAUAUCCCAUAUGACUCUAUGCUGCAUGGCAUGGAGUUGAAAGAUUCAUCGGUGACGGAUAGGCUCGCGGGACAUUAGCUUGAUGGCGGGGCAACGGCCCACCAUGGCGACGAUGUCUAGGGGUUCUGAGAGGAAGACCCCCCACACUGGGACUGAGACACGGCCCAGACUCCUACGGGAGGCAGCAGUGAGGAAUAUUGGUCAAUGGGCGGAAGCCUGAACCAGCCAUGCCGCGUGAAGGAAUAAGGCCCUAUGGGUCGUAAACUUCUUUAGACGCAGAGCAAUAAGGGCCUCGUGAGGUCCGAUGAGAGUAUGCGUAGAAUAAGCAUCGGCUAACUCCGUGCCAGCAGCCGCGGUAAUACGGGGGAUGCGAGCGUUAUCCGGAUUUAUUGGGUUUAAAGGGUGCGUAGGCGGCAAGGUAAGUCAGCGGUGAAAGACCAGGGCUCAACUCUGGAAGUGCCGUUGAUACUGUCUGGCUAGAAUGGUUCCGCCGUGGGAGGAAUGAGUAGUGUAGCGGUGAAAUGCAUAGAUAUUACUCAGAACACCGAUUGCGAAGGCAUCUCACGAGGAGCUCAUUGACGCUGAGGCACGAAAGCGUGGGGAUCGAACAGGAUUAGAUACCCUGGUAGUCCACGCAGUAAACGAUGAUGGCUAACUGUCGGGCCUUAGGGUUCGGCGGCCAAGCGAAAGCGAUAAGCCAUCCACCUGGGGAGUACGACCGCAAGGUUGAAACUCAAAGGAAUUGACGGGGGCCCGCACAAGCAGUGGAGUAU